UACAUGAUAGGAGGAGAGAGGUGAAUCUUUGUAUCCAUGUGAGAGUACAUGAUAGGAGGAGAGAGGUGAAUCUUUGUAUCCAUGUGAGAGUACAUGAUAGGAGGAGAGAGGUGAAUCUUUGUAUCCAUGUGAGAGUACAUGAUAGGAGGAGAGAGGUGAAUCAUUGUAUCCAUGUGAGAGUACAUGAUAGGAGGAGAGAGGUGAAUCUUUGUAUCCAUGUGAGAGUACAUGAUAGGAGGAGAGAGGUGAAUCUUUAUAUCCAUGUGAGAGUACAUGAUAGGAGGAGAGAGGUGAAUCUUUGUAUCCAUGUGAGAGUACAUGAUAGGAGGAGAGAGGUGAAUCUUUGUAUCCAUGUGAGAGUACAUGAUAGGA